UCGGAAGCCAAGCAGGGUCGGGCCUGUUAGUACUUGGACGGGAGACCGCCUGGGAAUACCAGGUGCUGUAAGCUU
rnacentral:rRNA from 1 species